rnacentral:rRNA from 1 species
AGUGAACGCUGGCGGUAGGCCUAACACAUGCAAGUCGAACGGCAGCACAGUAAGAGCUUGCUCUUACGGGUGGCGAGUGGCGGACGGGUGAGGAAUACAUCGGAAUCUACUUUUUCGUGGGGGAUCACGUAGGGAGACUUACGCUAAUACCGCAUACGACCUAGGGGUGAAAGCAGGGGAUCUUCGGACCUUGCGCGAUUGAAUGCGCCGAUGUCGGAUUAGCUAGUUGGCGGGGUAAAGGCCCACCAAGGCGACGAUCCGUAGCUGGUCUGAGAGGAUGAUCAGCCACACUGGAACUGAGACACGGUCCAGACUCCUACGGGAGGCAGCAGUGGGGAAUAUUGGACAAUGGGCGCAAGCCUGAUCCAGCCAUACCGCGUGGGUGAAGAAGGCCUUCGGGUUGUAAAGCCCUUUUGUUGGGAAAGAAAAGCAGCAGGUUAAUACCCCGCUGUUCUGACGGUACCCAAAGAAUAAGCACCGGCUAACUUCGUG